UUGGAACGACAUGAGGGUGAGUAAUUAAUGACAGAAUUUUCAUUUUUGGGUGAACCAUCCCUUUAAUGAAUAUGCCUAGAAAAACAGACAGAUGUCCAGCCUGGCUCUCAAAUCAACAAAACGGCUCCUCCCACAGGCGGCCAGCGGUUAAGGUCCACAUGGCAGCAGAGCAGCUAUUUACAUCGUACUCCAAACGCUUCAGAUUCUGGAGAACUUUAUUUAGCAAACACUUCCUGUUUGCAAUUUCACCCACACCCCCCACUGCCACCACCAACAACACCACCACUAAACUUUGCUUACGCUCCACGUGCGCCGAGAAAUUUCCCAAUACAGCCAGCUAAUUACACGUCAGGCAACUGCAAUGAAGCAUCAAGAAAGACAUGAGCAUCCCAGCCACCCUGAGACUGAUAAUUCAUGAGAAAACAUUUCUGUCAAAGUCGAUGGUGAGCAAAGAUGGUGGCCACGUUUUGGAGCAGCACCUGGGUUUUGCAGAUGCCAUCUGUGGGGAUUAAUCCAGAGGAUACAACAUAAUGCACAGCAAAACGUCUUAAGACAGAAGAAAUGGUGAAGAUGCACUGUUCCAGCAUUGGAAGACCAUAUUUUUGAGUGUUAUACAUACGAAGUUUUAAAGAAAGAAUUUGAUAUUUUGUAAUUAUUGUGUCUGUUUUAAUUGAAUGCCAGUAGUACCCAUGUAGAGUAAAAGUAAAAUGAAUUAUAUAUAAAAAUAAUCAAAUCUAAUCUAUAUUAAAAUGAACGAAUUAAAGUAGUAUACUGAAUUGUAUUAUUUUUACAGUGAUUAAAAUUAAAUCUUACAGUAAGUUACUGUAAAAACCCUUUGAAAUGUCUAACAGUGUGCCUUAAAAUUGAGUCAGAGCAAAAAUUACAUGCAAUGUCCAAUGUAUGCAAUAUAUUCUUCUCAAGUCAUGCAUUAGUUUUGUGUGAGAAAGAGAUAGAAAUUGAACCUGCUAUUCACUAAAAAUCUCUGAAAAGCCUCUAAUGUACCUCUCAAAUCUUAUUUGCACUUUUGUAUUUUCACUUCAUCAGUUAGAUCUUAUGAUUUUACACAAAUAAUUGCUUACAUUUUGGCUUCAGACUGUGAAAUGAAAAUUAAAACAAAAGGAAACAAACAAACAAAAAAGUGUUAACUGAAACUACAUUUUAAUGACUCCAAAACUAUCUAAAACAAAAUAAACAUUCACAAAAUUAUUUAUAUUUUUGAUACAUGGUAUAUUAUGAAAACAUACAACCAUUAAACAUGAAAGUGGUACUAGAUAGUAAAAGCACUAAAUUUUUAAAUUUUAAAAAUGAUACCAGUUAACAAAUUAA